rnacentral:lncRNA from 1 species
UAUCAGAGUAGUGUAUUAUGUAUUAAUAAGAAUAUACUUGGUCCUAAUAAACAAUCCUUGCCUUAUUCCUCCACGUCUCUUUCUCUCCUCAUUACUUUCGGUUGUCCUGGAUUUCUUUAUAUAAAUACUUUGUGUCUCUUCAACUUCGUCAAGACACAACACUUUCAUCUGCUGUCGCAAUAUCAAAGAAUUUGCCCUGCUUUUCGUCAGUAUCACUCUAUGUAUUCUAUCUCUAUGGAUAUAAGUUACUUAUAAGCAUAAUACAUGUGAAGACUAUAACCAGCCUUGUGAACGGAAUGCAAAAUUGAAAGGCGUUUUAUAGAACAUGCGUUCAAUGAAUGGAAUAGAAAGACAAAAGAGAUUUUAGCUUUUCGUUCCAAUAGUUCAUAGUAAUUUCGAAGGAGAGUAGUUGUCCACCGGAUAAGUAUCCUAGAAACACGACUAUGCCUCAACUACUGCAUACUCCCCUGAUAUUCCGGACAAUAUGUAAAAAGUGGACUUAACCACUCUACUUUAAAGUAUUGAGGUAUCCCGGAUCACAAUGACCAGGACUUUCAUCGGAGGAGAGUGUAGAUUAUUUGAGUAAGAAAACUUUGAUUAUUUAUGUCAUGAUUGGAAAAAUAAAAAUGUAUUUUCUA